rnacentral:rRNA from 1 species
GACGAACCACACGAACGUUAUUCGGAAUCACUGGGCGUAAAGGGUGCGUAGGCGGGUCUUUAAGUCAGGGGUGAAAUCCUGGAGCUCAACUCCAGAACUGCCUUUGAUACUGAGGAUCUUGAGUUCGGGAGAGGUGAGUGGAACUGCGAGUGUAGAGGUGAAAUUCGUAGAUAUUCGCAAGAACACCAGUGGCGAAGGCGGCUCACUGGCCCGAUACUGACGCUGAGGCACGAAAGCGUGGGGAGCAAACAGG